AUACGGAGGAUGCAAGCGUUAUCCGGAUUUAUUGGGUUUAAAGGGUGCGUAGGCGGUUUGCUAAGCGGGAGGUGAAAUGCCGGCGCUCAACGUCGGAAGUGCCUCCCGAACUGGUGGACUUGAAUGACUCUGCCGUGGGAGGAAUGUGUAGUGUAGCGGUGAAAUGCUUAGAGAUUACACAGAACACCGAUUGCGAAGGCAUCUCACGAAGGGUUGAUUGACGCUGAGGCACGAAAGCGUGGGGAUCAAACAGGAUUAGAUACCCUGGUAGUCCACGCAGUAAACGAUGAUGGCUAACCGCUGGGCUUAUCAGUUCAGUGGCCAAGCGAAAGCGAUAAGCCAUCCACCUGGGGAGUACGACCGCAAGGUUGAAACUCAAAGGAAUUGGCGGG
rnacentral:rRNA from 1 species